rnacentral:rRNA from 1 species
GAUGAACGCUGGCGGCGUGCCUAAUACAUGCAAGUCGAGCGAACGGACGAGAAGCUUGCUUCUCUGAUGUUAGCGGCGGACGGGUGAGUAACACGUGGAUAACCUACCUAUAAGACUGGGAUAACUUCGGGAAACCGGAGCUAAUACCGGAUAAUAUUUUGAACCGCAUGGUUCAAAAGUGAAAGACAGUCUUGCUGUCACUUAUAGAUGGAUCCGCGCUGCAUUAGCUAGUUGGUAAGGUAACGGCUUACCAAGGCAACGAUGCGUAGCCGACCUGAGAGGGUGAUCGGCCACACUGGAGCUGAGACACGGUCCAGACUCCUACGGGAGGCAGCAGUAGGGAAUCUUCCGCAAUGGGCGAAAGCCUGACGGAGCAACGCCGCGUGAGUGAUGAAGGUCUUCGGAUCGUAAAACUCUGUUAUUAGGGAAGAACAUAUGUGUAAGUAACUGUGCACAUCUUGACGGUACCUAAUCAGAAAGCCACGGCUAACUACGUG